GUUGAAUUCCGAGAAACUUUUCUUUUCUUCUUCGGCCAUUGCCGUCGGAACGGUGACCAAAUCGAGUUUGUACAGUUUUCCGACAAAUAAAAAUUUUGCCCCGGAGGCGUCGCGUACGUUACGGCCGAUAUUUUAUUCGAAUAAUAUUGUAUCAUCACACGCCACGGUCAAAGAUUCUGCACCAGAAUGUCCGCCAGACGGUACCGACGAC